rnacentral:lncRNA from 1 species
GUCAUUUAGUUUACUAGAGGCAGAGCCCCACGCAAGCGUGGGGUAGUUGACGUUGGUGUUACUCUAUCUUAAUAUGUUCAUAUGUGAUGCUUUGUUUGUGAAUUUUGUGUAUUAUAAUAGGGUUGAGGUGUAGUGAUGAACUCUGAUACAUGUUUUUUUGCAGUUGGUGUUGUAUAUUUUUCUAGAAAAACAAAAUUGUACGGUUUGGAUCUUCGUUGGGGAUAAGCCCAAUUGAAAGAGAACGUAAUUGAACGGUUGAUGGUGAUAUUGCCGUCUUUUGUGUAGCUAGAAAAAGAUUUUCUAAUUUUUAUCAUAUGCAUUUGUUGA